CAGAUGAUCUAGAGCCUCGUAGAAGCAAUCGGUUUGGUCUGCCUUUGCACUGACUGGAAGCAAAUUUUCGAUGCCAGCAGGUUUGGCAAGUGCAGAUUCCAGUUACUCAUCCAGUUGCUUCUGGACUUAUUAAGGGACUGCAAAAUACCCAGGUGAUUUUUGGGAACAUCUUAAUAUUGUGUACAUGGUGCAGAGCACAGCGUAAUCUGCAGAAAGCCCUCGGAGAGAAAUA